AGUUCAACAGUUCAAAUCUCACCAGGCUCAAGGUUGAGUCAGCCUUCCAUCCUUCUGAGCUGCCAGGUUACUAGUGGCACAGUUUUGGAAGAAGGAAGAUCCACCUACUAUUGAGGAAUGGACACUAAAAGUCGUGCAUUUGGCAGAGAUGGCAAAAAUUUCAUCAUAUCUUAAAGAUCCCUCAAACGAAAGAUACAUAUUGGAAUGGAGAAGAUGGAUCGACUAUAUUCAAAACAAGUAUGAGAUUAAGAAGAUUUAUAUAGUUUAUGAAUGAAACAUUUUCAAUCUCUA